rnacentral:rRNA from 1 species
AUUCCGAUAACGAACGAGACUCUGGCUUGCUAAAUAGUCGCGCCGGCCGCCGAGCCGGGCGCUGACUUCUUAGAGGGACAAGUGGCGUUCAGCCACGCGAGAUUGAGCAAUAACAGGUCUGUGAUGCCCUUAGAUGUUCGGGGCCGCACGCGCGCUACACUGAAGGGAUCAGCGGGUGAUCGUCCUUGUCUGGAAGGCCUGGGCAAUCCGCUGAACCCCCUUCGUGCUUGGGAUAGGGAGUUGCAAUUGUCUCCCUUAAACGAGGAAUUCCCAGUAAGCGCGAGUCAUCAGCUCGCGUUGAUUACGUCCCUGCCCUUUGUACACACCGCCCGUCGCUACUACCGAUUGAAUGGUUUAGUGAGAUCCUCGGACGGGCCGCGGCGGGGCGCCUCUGGCGCCUCGCUCGUGCGCCCGGAAGACGAUCGAACUUGAUCAUUUAGAGGAAGUAAAAGUCGUAACAAGGUUUCCGUAGGU